rnacentral:lncRNA from 1 species
GCAGUCAGCUUUAUGUGCAAGCAUCCAAAAUCAUGCUUUUCUGCUCGUGCGUAGAUAACGUUGUUAACCUGUACUAUGUUAGUACGGUAAUACCAAACUAGCAGAAUGUCAUGAUUAUCAAUUGUUCUUCUUGGAAGUUGAGCUAGGAGUAGUUGAAAUUUAGUAGUACCAUCCAAAAGUCUGUCUCAGUUGCUGAAUUGUGACGUGUCAUAUAUAUAUAUAUUUUUAAGAGAUACACAUGAAAAAAAAGAAAGGAAAAUUUAGCUACACAAACAAUAGAAUAGAAAAAAGACUGGCCGCAGCAAACGGCACUUUGAGAGUCUACCGUAAUGUGCGACAAAGUCCAAUUGCAUUCGUGGUCUUCCAAAGUAAUUCUAUCUCUACACUUAGCCCAUAGCUCGCUUCUUCCAUG